UACGGGGGGGGCAAGCGUUGUUCGGAAUUACUGGGCGUAAAGGGCUCGUAGGCGGCCAACUAAGUCAUACGUGAAAUCCCUCGGCUUAACCGGGGAACUGCGUCUGAUACUGGAUGGCUUGAGUUUGGGAGAGGGACGCGGAAUUCCAGGUGUAGCGGUGAAAUGCGUAGAUAUCUGGAGGAACACCGGUGGCGAAGGCGGCGUCCUGGACCAACACUGACGCUGAGGAGCGAAAGCCAGGGGAGCAAACAGG
rnacentral:rRNA from 1 species